rnacentral:lncRNA from 1 species
GUUUGAUCUUUUAAUUUUGCCUUUUAAUUAAGGACUUUCCGUUUUGAAUUUAAAAAGUUCUAAUAAAUCAAUAAAAGCCACUUAUUAAAUUUCUUCCUGUAAAAAUCUGUUUACUAGGUACUCUACAAGUAUAAGGUGGAAUGAUAUUAAUAGGUUUGUAUUACAAGCCCAUAGAGAGCACCAAUAUGAUUGUAUACUUAGCCUUUAUCAAAAACGUUUGCACCAAAUGGGAUAAAUAAAAUGUGUAGUUAAAAUCGCGUAUAUAAAAACACAGCAUUAGUCAUUUUGAAAUAGUUGAGAAGCCUCUUUGUAGAUACUUGAUUUUCGUGAAUUUGGAGAUCUUUAAAU